AACGAACGCUGGCGGCAGGCCUAACACAUGCAAGUCGAGCGGGACCUUCGGGUCUAGCGGCGGACGGGUUAGCAACGCGUGGGAACGUGCCCAAAGGUACGGAAUAGCCUCGGGAAACUGAGAGUAAUACCGUAUGUGCCCCUCGGGGAAAGAUUUAUCGCCUUUGGAUCGGCCCGCGUUGGAUUAGGUAGUUGGUGGGGUAAUGGCCUACCAAGCCGACGAUCCAUAGCUGGUUUGAGAGGAUGAUCAGCAACACUGGGACUGAGACACGGCCCAGACUCCUACGGGAGGCAGCAGUGGGGAAUCUUAGACAAUGGGGGAAACCCUGAUCUAGCCAUGCCGCGUGAGCGAUGAAGGCCUUAGGGUUGUAAAGCUCUUUCAGAUGGGAAGAUAAUGACGGUACCAUCAGAAGAAGCCCCGGCUAAACUCCGUGCCAGCAGACCGCGGUAAUGUAGACGUCU
rnacentral:rRNA from 1 species